UUUGCUUUAAAUAAAAGGUCCAGCCUGCCCAGUGACACUGUUCAACGGCCGCGGUAUCCUAACCGUGCGAAGGUAGCGUAAUCACUUGUUCUUUAAAUGAGGACUAGUAUGAAAGGCACCACGAGAGUCAUACUGUCUCCUCUUUCCAAUCAGUUAAACUAAUCUCCCCGUGAAGAAGCGGGAAUAACUAUAUAAGACGAGAAGACCCUAUGGAGCUUUAAACGAAUAACACUUGCCCACACUCCUUUUAAUUUCAGAAAAAUCUUCUACCUUGGCAUCAUACUUAUAAGUUUUUGAUUGGGGUGAUCACGGAGCAAAAAAUAACCUCCGCAAUGAAAGACUCUCCAUGACUAAAUCAAGAACCACAACUCUACAUAUCAACAAAUUGACACUAAUUGACCCAAUUUAUUGAUCAAUGAAC
rnacentral:rRNA from 1 species